rnacentral:sRNA from 1 species
UACAUCACUUGACAGACUGAUUUAAAGUC